rnacentral:rRNA from 1 species
AGCGAACGCUGGCGGCAGGCCUAACACAUGCAAGUCGAACGCCCCGCAAGGGGAGUGGCAGACGGGUGAGUAACGCGUGGGAACGUGCCCUUCGGUUCGGAAUAACUCAGGGAAACUUGGGCUAAUACCGGAUACGUCCGUAAGGAGAAAGAUUCAUCGCCGAAGGAUCGGCCCGCGUAAGAUUAGCUAGUUGGUGAGGUAACGGCUCACCAAGGCUAUGAUCUUUAGCUGGUCUGAGAGGACGAUCAGCCACACUGGGACUGAGACACGGCCCAGACUCCUACGGGAGGCAGCAGUGGGGAAUAUUGGACAAUGGGCGCAAGCCUGAUCCAGCCAUGCCGCGUGAGUGAUGAAGGCCUUAGGGUUGUAAAGCUCUUUCGGCGGGGACGAUAAUGACGGUACCCGCAGAAGAAGCCCCGGCUCACUUCGUGCCAGCCGCCGCCGUAAAAC